GGUGGCGAGCUCCGCACGCGCGGGCGCGAGGGCCUUGGCCAGCACGCGGCGGUGGCGAGCUCCACACGUGCGCGCGCGAGGGCGGCGGCGGCGGCGGUGUCGAGCUCCGCACGCGCGAGCGCGAGGGCCUCGGCCACUGCACGCACGCGGCGGCAGCACGCGGAGGCGCUACUCGCUAGGCCAGCACGCACGGAGGUUCUCGGCAAGCACGCAAAGGCGCUAGGCCAGCACGCACGGCUGCACGCACGCGGCGGCAGCACGCAGAGGCGCUAGGCCAGCACGCACGGCUGCACGUACGCGGCGGCAGCACGCACGGCCGGCCCAUAGGGGCCGGACACUGUCGGGGUUGUCCGUCUAGACAUUUAGGAAUAGGGAUCCGGAUAUAGAUGCUCCAAGUCGAUUUUCACAGUGAAACGGUUCUCUCCUAAUUUCUUGCUUCUUUGUUUUUUGUGGAUUGUUUACUUAUCGCCUUUUGUAUUCGAUUCGAUCUCACCUUCAUCUCAUGUUUUGUAAACAGAUCCUCCUUGCCGUGCCAUGGCACGGCCAGCGUCCCUCGACUGUGAUUCUGACGACUAUGACUCCGACUCCGGCUAUGCUUCCGGUGACGAAACUCGGCCUAAUAAGCGUCUUGUGUAUGAUUCUGAUGGAGGACUCUACAUUGAUGAUGAUGAUGAUGAUGACGACAACGAUGACGACGACGACGACGAGGAGGAUGAAUAGAAAGCCACGUAACAGCUGGGAGGCUGGCAUGGCAUGAAGAGGCCAGCAGAAGCAGUUACGGAGUGCAAGUCUAGCUAGUGGCAGAAAUGUUGUUUUUGUAAAUAUGUUUGCUUGUGUGAUGAGACCAAAUGUAAAUGUAUUGAUGUGAUUGAACUAACUGUUAGCGUUUUACUACAUAAGAAGGCACUGUCAGCAUUUGAUA